rnacentral:rRNA from 1 species
GACAGAGGUGCCGAGCGUUAGGCGGAAUCACUGGGCUUAAAGCGCGUGUAGGCGGGUCGUUAAGUGUCCGCGUGAAAUCCCACGGCUCAACCGUGGAACUGCCGGGCAUACUGGCGAUCUUGAGGCAUUCAGGGGCGAGCGGAACAAAUGGUGGAGCGGUGAAAUGCGUAGAUAUCAUUUGGAACGCCAAUGGUGAAAACAGCUCGCUGGGAAUGAUCUGACGCUGAGACGCGAAAGCCAGGGGAGCGAACGGG